rnacentral:tRNA from 1 species
GGUCCCGUGGUGAAAUGGAUAUCAUACCGCCCUCCGAAGGCGGUGGUCUAGGUUCGAUUCCUAGCGGGACCGCCA